rnacentral:rRNA from 1 species
AGUUUGAUCCUGGCUCAGGAUGAACGCUAGCGGCAGGCUUAACACAUGCAAGUCGAGGGGUAACAUUGUAGCUUGCUACAGAUGACGACCGGCGCACGGGUGCGUAACGCGUAUAGAACCUACCUUUUACUGGAGAAUAGCCUUUAGAAAUGAAGAUUAAUGCUCCAUAGUAUUGCGACUCGGCAUCGGGUUGUAAUUAAAGAUUUAUUGGUAAAAGAUGGCUAUGCGUCCUAUUAGUUAGAUGGUAAGGUAACGGCUUACCAUGACAUCGAUAGGUAGGGGUCCUGAGAGGGAGAUCCCCCACACUGGUACUGAGACACGGACCAGACUCCUACGGGAGGCAGCAGUGAGGAAUAUUGGGCAAUGGAGGCAACUCUGACCCAGCCAUGCCGCGUGCAGGAAGACGGUCCUAUGGAUUGUAAACUGCUUUUAUACAGGAAGAAACCACCCUACGUGUAGGGUGCUGACGGUACUGUAAGAAUAAGCACCGGCUAACUCCGUGCCAGCAGCCGCGGUAAUACGGAGGGUGCAAGCGUUAUCCGGAAUCAUUGGGUUUAAAGGGUCCGUAGGCGGAUUAUUAAGUCAGAGGUGAAAUCCCACAGCUUAACUGUGGAACUGCCUUUGAUACUGGUAGUCUUGAGUUGUGUUGAAGUAGGCGGAAUGUAGCAUGUAGCGGUGAAAUGCAUAGAGAUGCUACAGAACACCGAUCGCGAAGGCAGCUUACUAAGCCGAUAUUGACGCUCAGGCACGAAAGCGUGGGGAGCGAACAGGAUUAGAUACCCUGGUAGUCCACGCCGUAAACUAUGAUCACUCGUUGUUGGCAAUACACAGUCAGUGACCAAGCGAAAGCGAUAAGUGAUCCACCUGGGGAGUACGAUCGCAAGGUUGAAACUCAAAGGAAUUGACGGGGGCCCGCACAAGCGGUGGAGCAUGUGGUUUAAUUCGAUGAUACGCGAGGAACCUUACCUGGGCUCAAAUGUAAGUUGACAGGUCCUGAAAGGGAUUUUUCUUCGGACAAUUUACAAGGUGCUGCAUGGUUGUCGUCAGCUCGUGCCGUGAGGUGUCGGGUUAAGUCCCAUAACGAGCGCAACCCCUACUCUUAGUUGCCAGCAUGUAAUGAUGGGGACUCUAGGAGAACUGCCUACGCAAGUAGAGAGGAAGGUGGGGAUGACGUCAAAUCAGCACGGCCCUUACGUCCAGGGCUACACACGUGCUACAAUGGCCGGUACAGAGGGCAGCCACCUGGUGACAGGGAGCGAAUCUCAAAAGCCGGUCUCAGUUCGGAUCGAAGUCUGCAACCCGACUUCGUGAAGCUGGAAUCGCUAGUAAUCGCGCAUCAGCCAUGGCGCGGUGAAUACGUUCCCGGGCCUUGUACACACCGCCCGUCAAGCCAUGGAAGCUGGGAGUACCUGAAGUCGGUAACCGUUAAGGAGCCGCCUAGGGUAAAACUGGUGACUGGGGCUAAGUCGUAACAAGGUAACC